UUGAACUUUUUACAAUUUUUUCUAAUUUCAUUUGAUUUUUCCGGUAUUUUUCUGUUUUUUUUAAAGAAACCGACACGUCGUCAUUUUGAGCUGUAAAAUGAACAGUACCAGUCGUCUAUGAACAGAAAAACAUCUUUGGAGGUUUAUUAUGAUAAAAAUGUCACUUUGAAAGUUUAAAAUUCUAGUAACAAAACUUCGGUGUUUAAAGUGUUAGAAAGUGACACUUUCAAUGUUUAAAAUGCGAUUUUCCCUAAAAGAAAGAUGUUGGGGUUCGUUUUGGCUGACUUUUCAUUGAUUUUAUAGUACUCUCAACUCUUUUAAUUUUGGAACCAUAACAGUUGGAUAAAGAAUAUGUAUGUUUUGGCUCUGUAUCAAAAUUGUAAAAAGAAUAGGGUAAUAUAUUUUAGUUUUGUGUAUAAAUUAUGUUUUUCAUUUCCUUAAAUAGCGAAUUAACGAAAACGGUACAUAUUUAGUUGUGAAAAUACGUACCUACCUACCUAUGGGAUGAAUCCCUCAAUUCUCAUGAAGAUUAAAAAAAAUUAAAAGAACAAAAAUCUAUAAAAAAGUAGAUACCAGAUAAAAAAAAAUUUAAAAGGAACAUCAUAUCCGAAAAACAUAGAAUAGUCAUCCCAUGCAUCAUUAUCCUCACCGUCAUUAGUCAUAUCCUUAGGCAUUCUCCAGCUCUUCGCAAUCUCAGCCUCGUUCCCAUUUGUGAGGAAUUCUAAUACCUUAACCACGUGAUAUAAAGUCACAAAACCAAAUCCUUUUAUUUCGUUUUUUUGUUGGUUCUAAUAUGUUACGUUCGAAAUCUAAUGCAACCUAAGUCAUGCUUUGUCGUAAUAUUGGUCAUUGUUGGAUACAAUGUGAAGCAGUAAGAAAAAGCCUAUUCAUCUGUUGAUCGUCGUACAUACUGCAAUAUCGGAUCAACCAAUUCUCUUCUGUUGUCUCCAACACCGGUUUGGCCAGUACAUAAGGUAUGAGUUUAGCUAAAAGAUUAGUUAUAAAAAAGUCAACGAGGAUUAGAGAUAUCAAUCCAAAUCUUACAUCAGAAAUUUAGAAAAAUAAUAUCUAAUAUAUAAUAUGAUUUUUGGGAAGAGACCAAAAAUAAAUUCAUGCGGACUUACCUCUUAUUAGGUCCGAAAUAGACAAUAUCGUACUAAUAGUACAAAUACAAUAGAGAAUUGCACAUGAGCUUUAAAAGAAAAUCCAACAGAUUUCGUCCCGUGUCUUGUAAGGCAAUCAAAUGGGUAUGAAUAGAAUUAUACCCAUAAGAGAAUGUGUUCCUAAGCGGUACUAACCGGUCUUCGUCCGCUUAUGAUUUCAGAAGAAGAAUAGCAAAUGCAUAUAUGUCAGUUUUCUCGUCUAAGGUUCUUUUCAGGACUCUGAUGCUAGAUAGCCAAACAUUAAGGAAUUGACUGCUAAACCGAAUUAUAUCACGGUGUAUGAUCCGAUGGUUGCAGCGUUUGUGAAGAUAACGAAGCCCUUUAGCAACUCCAACCAGAGUCUUUAGAACAGAAUGACAUCUGAAAUUAGAUUACCUUGCAACGCGGAGUAAAAGUUGAGAACCUGAAGAUAAGAUAGAGACCUCUCUCAACACAACAAUCUACGAGAAGAGCAGUGUUGGGAUGAGAGACAUGACUUAUGAUGGCGAGUACCGUAAGAAACUAUUUUUCAUUGUUCAUGUCACCAUUUUCUUUGUUACUUUCUUCACGACGAUUCUUCUUCCAUCCCAUAGAUAUCCCAUUUACGCUUCUCUGCAAUUCUACAAAAAACUUAGAAGAGAAUUCUAAUUUUAAUGCAAAUUUGAUAUUAUUUUAAUAAUUUAUUUUAAAAACAAUCAUUUUCAUAAGUGAUGAAAAAGACUAAAGUUUAAAUUAUUUAUAAACUUUUAAUAGUCAUUUAUAAAAGUUCAUAAACCCAACAUCAUGCUUUUUAAAUAUUAAGAAAAAAACAAAAGUUUCAAACGUUUUUCGAUUAUAUUAUCCUGUAAAAAAGACAAAAGUUGUGGAUCUGAUCAAAAGUUUUAAAUUUAGUCUCUCUAAUGCUCACCUUGACGAAAAUCAUUUGUGGCUUUAGAGAUCUCACUAAUUAGUCAUAAUAAGUAACACACUGGAUUAGCGGUUGACGUUUUGGGUGUUUCAAUCCUCUUUUCUUCUCCAUUUCCAUAGAGGAGAGGGUGCAUGAUAAGAGAAGAUAUGAAUCUGUAGCGAGACAUCGGUGUCGUUGUUGUGAUUGGGCUCAGAUAGGUGUAAAACCAACAAUCGGCCUAUGUUUGGGUUUGUCUGAAGGCGAACGGAAGCUAGAAGAAGCCACUGAACCGUUGAAGAAGCAUCAUCGCCGGAGGAGCUAACUGAAUCUCUCGACAUACUUGGUACUUUUUAUGUGUGAGAAAAAACAUUUUCGGUACCUUUUGUAGUUCUUACAUAUAUUAAAAACAUAUAUCAAUAAUAUUAUCUGAUAAGUACUAGUGUACUACAUUUGGCGCUAACAUUGAUUAUCAAAAUGAUUCGUUACACGAAUAUUCUUAAUGAAUUAAAAACUAUUAUAUUCAUGAUAUUACUAAUGAUUGUUUUAUUUCCAUUUUAGUAAAAAAAUUAAUCAUCUUUUUUAAACCAUAAAUAAAUAAAAUAUAUAGAUUUUGUAUUGUCCCUAAAAACAUAAAAAAAAGGAAAUAUCUUUACUGUUCAAAAUCUAUAGGUUUUUAUAUAUAUAACAUAAUUUACACAACAUUUGACAAAAUAAAAUAAUUUAGAUAUUUGUUUUUUAUAAAAAUAAUAUUUUAUUAUAAUUUUACUUUUUAUCAAAUGAUUAAAAAUAAAAUAAAUUUUAAACAUUAUAAAAUGAUCAUCUAAUAUCAUAUUUCUCAAACACAUGCCUAAUUAAGUUAUUAGGAUUUAGUUAUUCUGUAAAUUUACAUGCCUAAUUAAAUUUCAUCUAAUAUCAUAUUUCUAAAACACAUGCCUAAUUAAGUUAUUAGGAUUUCCAUGAAAUUUCAAAAUAUUAUAGGUUAUGUUUAUUAAUGCAACUCCAACGUUAUAUUUAUGUUUCCUAUUUUUCAAAAAAACAUAUAUCAAUUUUUUUUAAUGUUUGUAAAUAUACUUGUAAUUUUAAGAGGAUGAACAGAACUAAAUAAAGUUAAAAAAUAAACUACUUUUAACUUUAUUAAAAAAAAUUAUUCAAUUUAAAAUGAUAUAUGUAAUUCAACAUACCCAAAAAUGAACACUUAAACUGAUCCAAAAUAUUAUUCUUAAAAUCAAAUAUCUGAUUAAGAUAAGAACAUAUUGAUAAAUACAAUCGUUUAACCUUUUAGAUAUAAUUACGUUAUAAAAUUGUAACUAAUCAAUGAAGUUUCAAAAUAUUUCCAAUUUGGUUUGUUUAUGCAAGUCUCAAUCCCUCGACAUAAUUUUAAAUUGAUCCAAUAUGACAUAUAACAAAAUAUUAGAAUAUGACAAGUAUCUUAUACAAUAAAACAUACUUGUCUCUCUCCUCAUUAAGCCACGUCAUCAGGUAGGAGAGAGCAAAUUUCGACACCUAUCAACACCUGGGUUGUUCUGUGUUUUUUUUCUUGGUUUUGUUUCUUAUGUUGUCUGAUGCGGAAAUGUGAACUGGACUUUAUAGUAUUUGUGCAUGAAGCCCAGAGUGAAGCCCAGUCUCCUUUACGCUAUCUUAACCCACAAGUGUUUAGGGUUUUCUCCCAUUUUCUUCUCGCGGCUCGAACUCACCGACCAAACCAAUGUUUGGCUCAGAUCGCCGUUCCGAUAUACAUAACCCCCCAGAUUUCCAUAUGGAGGCCACUACAAGCUCCUCCUUCGAACCGUUUUUGUCAUUUUUUUUUGGAAAAGCUCUCCGUCGUCUGUAUACUUCUCUGUUCCACUGAAGAAACCAGAACGAUAUGUAAUGUUUUAUUCACAAUUGAGAACUCUAUUAAAUUUCACCAUUAAGUCACUCCGUCUAUCCCACUACUCGAAUUUAAUUACUACUCUUCCCAUCUUCUUUGCAAAUCCCUAAUUUUCCAUACUAGUGCAGCCAUCUCCAUAUCUCAUCGUUUCACCAGAUUCAUUUCGUCCUUAUAGUGUUGACGCGUCUCAUGCGUUUCUAGGAAGCAUGUUUUUUCUUGAUGAAAAGGUUUGCUUUCUUCGUGUGUUUCCCAAUUUUCAGUUAAAGCUUUUCCAAGGUUCCAUCUAUGUUCAUCGCCUUAAUACUUUCAAACAUCUCUGUUCAGUGGGUUUGAUGCUACGAGAAGCAACCACCACUUCAAGAAACAAAAUCACCUGUCACAAUAUGCUUCACUGACCUAACUAAGUUUGUUGAGAUUCCGGCAGGACCUGCUCCAGUACCUCUGGAGUUCUUUAGUUUUUGUCUUUAUGAGCAACUCAUGGAAUUGGCAAACAAAAAUACUCAAGUUUUAGGCAUCAUAGGGGAGGUGACUCAGGUGAGCAACGUCAAUAUAACUUUUAAUGACGAAUCACAAACAACUCAACACAUAAUGGAGGCCAUCCAAAUUGACGGGCCAGCAAACUCCACCAGAACUUAGAUGGGGUUGGUGUGGAGCCUAAGGUCAUUAAUAUCAAAGAACAUUAAUCCAAAAUUUGUAGGAGGACGCUUAUAUUUGAAUGCAAUUUCAGGGACCAAUUUCCACUUCGACAAAGAACUUCGGUGAGGAUGGUGUCACCAGCUCUGCAAGUUAUACCAAAUAUGGAGAUGUUCAGAAAAUUGAAACUGUUACGUUGCUCAAGCUUAAUGCGUACGUGCUGAAAUCUCGCUGCAGGUUUCUGAGUUCCUUUGCACCAACAAAGUAGAGGCCACUGAAACCACCAAUGGAUGGUGCUACAUUUUCUGCUACAAAUGUUCAAGAAAGCUACAGCGAGGAUUCCCUUCAUUCACAUGCACCUAUUGUCAUAACUCUAGCACUAUUGGUGUUGUCAGGUAUUGCCCGGUAGAUUUAUCUCACUUCUCACUUUUUAAAAUAUUCACUAAACAAGCCAUCUAACAUUCUCCCAUUGGCGUUUUAAAAUUUUGCAAACCGUGUGGAGAUUUGUGUCUCUGAUGCGAGAGAGUCAUCCAUGUUUGUUGUCAUCCAUGUUUGACUACAAAUUGGUAUUUCAAUAUUUACAUACACAAGCUACGUAAUGAUGUCUACAUUCUUUUCAUUAAAAUGCAGGCUGCAAGUGUUGCAGACCCUCUAGAGUCUGAGGUUUCACAAUUUCUCCAAGAAAUAGUUGUGAGACGUUUGAUUUUCAAUUGAAGCUUUUUGAGUUCAUUUUCAACUCCAAACAUCAAUCAUUCACUGUGUCCCACAUAUUUUAUUGUCAUCAGCGUCCCCUACUGAAACUUUUACUUAGGAAAGUUUUACGCCCUAUUUGGCGUGACUGGGAAAGAAAUUGGUGUGUUUUCAGUCGCUGGGAAGUGAGAAGGAAUAUGCAGGGACAGCACUAUCACCGGAUUCAUUUGAUUAUUUAGUCCCCGCGUCUUUUGUUUCAAACUCCAAAUGAAGAAAAUAUCAUUAACAUUUUCUGUCGCUGAUGCUAAUCGUUGCGUUCUUGAAACGAACACACCCUUAAUAUGUUAA